rnacentral:lncRNA from 1 species
AUAUAUAUAUAUAUCUGAAUGCUUCAAGCAAUCAAUCAUUCAUAAUACUAGCUACUACAUACUACCUACAUGGGUACUGUAAAAGGGCCUUCUGAUCCAAAAUACAACAAUGGAUAAAUGCCCUUUCAAUACACCAACAUGGAUAAAAAAAAAUCAGAAAAUUUAGAGUAAAACAUUUAUAAGAAAAGAACAUAUGGAAAAUUUGGUAUUUUACCAAUUAUUCUUCAUCAUAAUCUUCAUCUUCCUCAUCCAACCUUGAGUUGAUUUGUCCAAGAUUUCCAGUGUCAAUCACCAUCCUGUCCAUUUCCGAAAGCGAUGUCCCAAGAUAAUCUUCGUUUUUAACUUCAGCCGCCUCUGAGCCACCAUCACCACCACCAGGAACUGACUCUGGCGGCGGCGGCGGUGGUGGUGGUGCUCCUCCGUCUAACCCAUCGGAUGCUUUCUCCAUGUUCUCAUCAACCCCAGUAUUCAAAUCAAAGUCCCGACCACCAUCACUGAUCGCGGUGGGGGCAGCAGCGGCAGCAGUGGCGGCGGUGGUGGUGGUUGGUGGAAUCAAUGGCGUGCAGGAUUCGAGUUCAAUAUCUGUUUGGGGAGCCUCUCUAUCUGCUGAGCUUCUCCCCCGGCCCCUGCCCCUUCCUCUACCCCGCCCUCUCCCCCUACCAUUGCUGCCUGUUUGCCUUGCUUCAUUCUAAAACAAUGAGUAAAACAUUUCAAAUUAAGUAUUAAAUAAAUAGAUAGAAAAAGGGUAUAUACAAUUACAAAUUAUGGAAAAAAAAAGAGGGUUUUAGUUUUACCAUCCUGUUUCUUUUCAACUCUUCAUCACUUUCAUUUGUUUCAUCAGCAGCAAUCUUCCUGUGAAAAGAAAAAUCAAUGUUUAAUUAUUUAUCAGUUUAGUAAUUAGUAUUUCCAUUGACAAUUUGGCAUUGAAUAAAUAAUCUGAAAAUGGAUUUAUGAAAGUAGCUUACUUCCUCUUUACCAUGGUACGAUCAUCACCAGAACCAACAGCACCACCAGCAGCAGCAUCAGAAUGGCCAUAGUCAGGGACCUUGCUCACAACUUCCCUCAGAAAAUCAAAUACAUUGUAGCUUUGUACACAGUGCUUUCUGAACUCAACAAAAACAACAUUUCCAUGUGUUUUAAGUUUAACAAGCUAACAAGAAGAUCAAUGAAUUUUCAGAAAUGGUUUGGUUGGAAGGACUUACAAAUGCAGUGAGUUAACAGUUUUUGCACCUCUGCGUAGAGUUAUAUCAUAUGUUCUGUCACAAAGAUCUUGCAGAAACAAUUCCAAAGCUUUUGCUGAAUAAUAUUACAAAAGAAUAACAAGUAAGAACCAUUCAAAAGCUUUUGCUAGUAAAAGGUUAUACUAGAAACUUACAAACUAAAACUGGAACAGCCAUGGCGAUUUUUCCAACGUCUUCAUCAGCUUGCAUUAUCUUUUUGAUCCGAGCCUGCAGCAUAUAAUACAAUCACUCCAAAAUAUCAGAUUACAUCCUGCAAAUACUUAAAGAAACCAAUUGAUUUUCUGAUGUUAAUUUACACCAACAACAAUAUUCCUUUUGCGCUAGGUCAUUUUCUUUUCUUGCGAAGGCUGUGAAUCCAUAUCAAUUUUGAAGUUAAAAACAUGUCAAAAACAACAAUUAUGAUUAUGACAUCAGUAAUCCCAAAGCGAAGUAAAGAUCUUCCAUAGGAAUAAGCUACGAUUAUAGCAUCUUCAAUACCACACAUACUACAAAUACCAGACACCUAAAGCGCAUGCUUAUUAUGUGAAAUGGCAUAAAACCUUGAAAGAGGAACACUUACAGCAGGGAAACGCGUAUCGAGCUUCUUCUUCAUGGCGUUAAUACACCAAUAAACACAAUUUGAAGAAUUAAUUUAAGAGGAAAUUCAACAAAAGGCGCGUGGGAGCAGAUCUGAUCUCGAAGAAUCACAGUGGCGGAGAAGUCUCUGCGUUGCAGAUCUGGUUCGUAGUUUGGAUCAAAUUCGAGUUACGACCAGUAAUUUCACAGAUCCGUAAAGGCUCGAGUUUGGAGAACAUCAGAAAAAGGUUGACAAAAGAUAUGAAAGAAAAGAAAGAAAAGGAUGAUAAUGUUUUUAAUUAUUAUUAAUUUUUAAUUUUAUUUUAGAAUAUUCUAAAAAUAACUUUGGAACUUUUUAUGUUAUAAUUUUCUUUCAUGAUAAAAAAUCGAUUACAAGUUACCAACAAAAUAAUUUAUUUUUAAGUGCCUAAUAAGUCAAUUGAUUACGGUUAUCAUUUACCAACAAAUUAAUCUAUUUUCAAAUCUCUUCUUUGUUCUAAUAAAAGAAUAAUUUUAGUUUUUUUUAAUGUGUUAUCUUAUGGGAUAAUGACUUAAUAUGUGCCUAAUAAGUCAAUUGACAUCCCUAUUUGUCGGCAUGCCGCCUUAACCCAAUCGCUCUUCUCGAGCAUCUGUGCCUAUGGCUUACAGCUGGCCCGCACUACAACAUAUAGCAGACUCACCUCAACCUAUCCCACCACCAUAUGGCUAUUUACGUAAGAUGUUGUGAGAAAAACCUAAAGAAAUUAUUUAUAAGUACCGAAUGAAUACAAAAACAAAAAUGACUUAUUUUAAAAAUAUAUAUAUAUUAAGGAUUAAAUGUCUACAAAGUGAAAAAUAUAUUACCCUAUUAAGUCAUUUUUACCGGCUAAAUGUGUACAGUUUAACAAGUUUAAGGGAUAAAUGUGGACGAAAAAAAAGUCAAUGACUAAAUUUGUACAAAUCAAAAAAUAUAUUACCCUUUUAAGCCUAGGUUAUUCUAUUAAAACUAAUUAUUGUAUUAUUGUAUGCAUAAAUGUGGGUCAAUCAUUUUACUUAUUUUAAGAAAGUGAUUAAUACAUAUUAUUGAAUUAAAUAUAAUUGAUAAAUACCAUCAAAUUUAACUAGAAGGGUAUUUUAGUCAAUUAAUAUAGAUUUAAUAAAGGAAAUUUGCAUAUUUUAAGGGAUCAUAGAUUCUAUUAAUUUUAAAAAUCCGAUUUUAUGAAUUAUAAGGUUUUUAAUUUGGACAUUCUGACAGAAUAUGUUUGAGUAUGUUCAAAAAUAAAAAUAUUUUAGAACUAUAAAAUAAUAAAUAAUCUUGAUCAUGACUUUAAAAAUUUAUUGUAGAAUAACAAAUUCUCGAACAAGCAAUUGAAGAAUUAAAACAAGCAAUUGAAGAAUUAAGUCCACAUUGUCGGUUACCUUAUUCUUCUUAUCUUAAUCAAAACAAAUGGCAAUGUUAAUUUAGAUUUAUAUGCAAGAGGAACAAGCAAAUGAACAAGCUGAAACAAAAAAAUUACUUGCUAAAUAAACCAAUUUCAAAGUUGUGCGCAGUGCAAACAAAGAAAUUUAAAAAAAUCAACAAAGAUACGUAAAAGCCUCUAAUCAAAAACGAUUUCUUUUCAAUUGAAUUGAAAAUAAUUUAUAAUAGUUAUUAAAAUUGAGUAACCGACCUUGAAAAGAAAAUGGAGAUGGAAAACUUUUUGGAUAUUAUAGGCAUCAGUGGUGGAGAUGGCGUGAUUAUAGGAGAAGCAUCGGUGGUGGAGAUGUGUAUUAUCCUUAAAUGCAAACAUAGGUACAAAAACCAUCUUCAAGGAUCUGAUGUGUGUAGUAGAGAAUUCCGAUGCCAGAGAACUAAACAAGAAAUUGACACAAGGUUGGAUUUAAUCGAAGAACCCUAAUUUAGACGUAAGAAAUACAAACCUCCAGUGCCUGAUUCAACUGAUUGAAAAUCAUAAGAGAGCAAUCAGAGCACUUCAUAAAACACUCAACAAAACCAACACAGCAGUUAUGAGAAGGAUCACAAAUUGGAAGCACAAUAUAAGCCAACAAUUCGCACUCCAUAGCUGAGCGAACCAGUGGACACCCUUGGUGAGCUUUCAGAUCAAGAACUAUCUCCGACAAUUGGUUCAGGAACGCACUGGCUGGUGCACCAGUAAUGAUCAUUGGGUCAUCUUCUACAUCAUGCUUAUCGACAUCAAUAUUACACCGAUACUUGAGAGAAGAUAACCUACUGAGACUCUCGAUCUCAGCGCUAAACACGAUAACAAGUACCCCCCUUGCGAUCGAUCGAAAUGUUCCGCUCUAUGAAGAACACAAUGAAGGGCAAACCCACAAAGGGUCGCUGGUGUCGAUUUGUUCAAUUUAGGGUUUUCAGAAUAGGGUUUUUAGAUAAAGAGGUGAACGAGAUUUAAAUUGGAGAGAUACCAUGAUUCUAGGGAUUAUUUUUGGAAGUUAUUAAUCAAAUGACUAAAUUACCCUUAUAUAUUUAUUUAAUUAUUUAAUUUUUUAUUUAAUUUUGAUUGGCCCACAUGUAUGCAUACGAUAACACAAUACUUAGUUUAAACAAAUGAACCUAGCUCUACCCUUUUAAGUCAUAAGGACUAAAUGUGUACAAAUCAAUUAAUGCAUAUUUUAUUCUUUUUUUUUUUAUCAUGUGUCACUCUAUUAUGACUCCUAAUUAAUAAUUACACUUGUCAACUUAUUGAUUAUUCAUUUUAGAGUAAAUUACUAAAAUCGUCCCUGUGGUUUGGUCAAAAUUGCACGUUUGGUCCCUAACUUUUUUUUUGCACUCGGAUCGUCCCUGUGGUUUGAUUUUGUUGCGUUUUUCGUCCCUAUGGUUUGGUAAAAGUUGCAUGNAACAAAAUCAAACCACAGGGACGAUCCGAGUGCAAAAAAAGUUAGGGACCAAACGUGCAAUUUUGACCAAACCAUAGGGACGAUUUUAGUACUUUACUCUUCAUUUUAAAUUUUAAAUUUUAAAUUUCUCACUCUAUCUACAUUAAAUUAAUAGCAUUAAAAUAAAAUUAAUACAAAUUAUGAAGUGAUAUAAUUUCACAUAUUUAUUUAAAUCAAUGAUUAUAAUUUUAUACAACUAAAAAAUCUUUUAAUUAAUAAUUUAUUUAAAAUAAUUGAUUAAUAACUUAAAAUUUUUACUAUAAAAUUUUAAUUAAUAUUGUAAUCGUGGUUCCUACGGAUUACAAACUAGUAUCUAAUAAGUUUUUUUUUUUUUUUUGUUAGGAUCUUAUUACAGAUAUAUCUCUUAAAAUGUAAAUUGACUUGAUAUAGAGUUUUUUCCAUAUUAAAUUUAUUGUGUUUGCAUGUUAAUUUAAUUUCUUACUACUUACUAAAUAUUUAUAAUAGAAAGAUUGACAAUAUGACCAUUAUAUUUUUAUUUGUAAAAUAGGCAAAUAUUAAGGUUGCGGCUUGUCAAGGAAGAUCCUAUCAAAAUGAAUGUUCUCAAAUUUUCAUGUAAGGGGUCACUGCCAUUUAUAAAUUCAUGUUGAUUAAGACAUCAAUUGUGAAAUCAACUUUAGCUUUUUUAACGGUAAUCAUAUAUAUGUAGAUGCAAACCACGACAAUUACAAAAAAAAACAUCUUAAGCAUAAAAUAAACAAGAUCAUCAGACACGAUAUCACAAAGGAACUAACCUACAUGGCUUACUCUUGUGCCAAAUUCGAUAAUUGGAUGAGUUCUGAUGCUUUAUGAGGUUUCAUUUGAUUUACAAUCGUUUCAAGUUGAAUGCACAAAGUUUUAAGAUUCGAAAAUGGUUUAUGCAUUGCAUGGUUUUAGUUUAGCAAAAUGGUGAAUCUAUUAGGGUUUAUAAGACUAGUGACUUGAAUACAGAAUAAAGACUAAAAAGAUGAUAUUUGGUUCAGAUAUGAUCUUAAGAUCCUAAUAUCUCAGUACACAUCUUGUUUCCUAGAUGGUUAUUUUGUAAAUGUGUUUAUCCUAACUAUUUUCGUAGAAUUUAAAUUCAUAGUGUCAUAAACUUCUUAAGUGAUUACAAAUAGUCCGUGUUCAAGAUAUUUUUGGUAUUGAAGUGAUCGACAUGUCAAUUUUUGCUCAAUGUGAUGUUUAAGUAGUUAAGUGGCACUUUAGUCAUCAAUAAAGUGAAAAUCAUAUUUUUUUUCACAAACAACAUUUUAAUCUUCUACUCUAUCGAUACCAAACUUUUAUAAAUUUACAUGCAUUAAUUGAAAUGGUGAAAUGAUUAAUUAUUUUACGAUGUUGUUGUGAAAUGUUCAGUGGCAUGGACCAUGGACAACACAUGAAGCGGAUUUAUAAGUUAUCCUUAUUUUUAGGUAAAAUGUAUGUUCAAUCGAUACAUUUAAGAGUUAAAAUUAAGUGGGAAUUGAUCCGUACACAAUAAAAUUUCUCCAUACACAACAAUUUGUGCUCUAAAAUGUUGUAAUGUACAACUCUAUUAAACACAAAUUGUUGAGUACGAAUCACUUCCCAAAUUAAAUGUUUAAUAUUUUUUGUUUAUUUUCAUGAUUAACACAAAAGAUUCAGUUUCUUCAAGUGGAUUGACCACACAUUUUCCAACUUAAUUGGAUAAAAAUAUGGUUCAUGAAAUAGUCUAAAUUGGAGAGAAAAAAUAAUUUCUAAAACCAGUUGGAACAAAGGAUUGCGAUGGUGUUGUUAGUAAGAGUUGUAUUAAUAUUGAUUUUAGUACUUCUAAUAACCACUUUUGGAAAUUGUUUUUGUUAUUAAAGGUGCAUAUAUUUCCUUACCAUAUAUCUAUUAUUAUGUUUUGUUAAUGUUCCUCUAAUGUACUUUCCUAUUAUGGUAUUGAACUUGUUCAAUGGUAAUAUAAAUUUUGAUCAUAACAUUAAUUUUGGUAAUGAUAAUGUACUUGUAAUGUUCACCAACGACAACAAUAAUGUACUUUCUUGUAUUGUAUGGUAGUAUACUUGUAAUAGCGUGUAACAUACUUUCCUUAACAUGCACUUGGUAUGGUAAUGUACUUGUAACAUUUAUUUACUUUCCAUACUUGCGGUAUAUUCCAUAUAGUCAUACAUACAUUGCACAUUUUGCAUACAUACAUAUAUACCCUAGAUUUUAUACAUACACUUCAUUCCAUUUUGUAUAUAUAUUUAAAAAAAAAAAAAAAAGGAAUGAUCAUGUUGUUUGUCGGCAUUUUGAUGCAAAUAGAAAGUCAUUAGCAACCUAUUUAAACUAAACAAAAUAAAUGGAAAGUAGACAUCAAAAUGUUUCAAUAGAUAGCAUAAAAAGCAUUAAAUUUUGGAGAAGAUCAUAUACAAAAAAGAGUUGACAAGAUCAUAUACAUUAUUUACAAGAAUACGAUAAUCACAACCUCUAGUUUUUUUUUAUUACUUUUACCAAGGAUUGGUGUCGUUGUAUAGAGAGCAUGCAAUGGAUGAAGUUAGGACGUAUGAUUAACUUCUACACAACUUCUUCCUCUAGUUUUUUUUUUUUUUUUUUUUUUUUUUUUUUUUUUUUUUUUUUUUUUUUUGUCAAGGAAUAGGGUAAUUGCUUCAUCAUGCUACAUUUUUGCUUCUCCAGCCAACUUUCUUGCAACUAAAAUCCCAAAAUAUACAAAAUAAACAAUGUACUUUCAUUCUUCUUUCUCGUUCCAUAAACCAUAUACCAUUACCAAAAACCAAGGAUAAAAGAUAAGGUUUUCUUGGAAGUUUUCUGGUGAUCAAACUCAAGAAGCAUAAAACAGCAGGAGAAAUGUCAACCUUGAAUCCCAAAUGAUUUAUCUGUUUGUGAAACUCAACUGUGAAGGUGUAUUUAUUCAAAAUCCUUUCUGUUAUUGAUGGUGUGGAAUUUACCUACUCUAAGUGUGUUACGUGUGUAGUUGUCUGGUUGUUGUUUCAAAGACCAAAGCUUUUCCUAAUAAUACUCAUCCAACAUUUCCUUAUCCUUCCAUUUAAAAUAUUUGCCUCUUUAAUUUUCUGUAGACGCAAAAACAGGAAUGUAGUUUUCCUUAUGACUCAUUUAGGGCUUCAUAAACAACACUCUACAAAUGUUGAACUUCAUCUAUGUCACCUAUUUAAAAGGAGAAAUGUUAAUUUAAUGACCUAUUGAGCAAAAAAAUAACAUUGAUGACCAAAUCGGGACAAAACACAUAGUUUGUUGUGCUACAAUGUUAUUUUCCCAACAUAUCCAAGGUAAUCACAUAACUGCAUCCAAGAUAAAUCACACAGCUAACAGUUACCAGAACAUGUCAUGGUUUCAUCAUGGGACAGAAGCUCACUUGCAUUGCAUGUAAAACAUACAUAUCCAAGACGACACCAUUUUAGUAAAUAAUCUGAAAAUUAAAUUUGUUUAAAUAUGUAAUGUGAUGUGAGUUAUAUUCGACACCUUGGAUAAAUCUACUAAUAACACAUAAGGUUGUUGACAGAUUUCCCAUUUCAGUUUUUAUAUAUAUAUAUAUAUAUANNNNNNNNNNNNNNNNNNNNNNNNNNNNNNNNNUAUAUAUAUAUCUGAAUGCUUCAAGCAAUCAAUCAUUCAUAAUACUACCUACUACCUACUACCUACAUGGGUACUGUAAGGGCCUUCAGAUUCAAAAUACAACAACACAUAAAUGCCCUUCCAAUACACCACCAAAGAUUAAAAAAAAAAAGAGAGAGAGAGAGAGAGAAUUAAGGGUAAACAUUUAUAUAAAAAAACAUAUGUAAGAUUUGGUAUUCUACCAGUUAUUCUUCAUCAUAGUCUUCAUCUUCCUCAUCCAACCUUGAGUUAAUUUGUCCCAAAUUUCCAGUGUCAAUCACCAUCCUGUCCAUUUCCGAAAGCGACCCCCCAAGAUAUUCUUCGUUUUUUACUUCAGCCGCCUCUGAACCACCAUCUCCACCACCACCAGGAACGGACUCCGGCAGCGGUGGAGGUGGUGGUGCUCCUCCGGCUAACCCAUCGGAUGCUUUCUCCAUAUUCUCAUCAACCCCGGCAUUCAAAUCAAAGUCCCGACCACCAUCACUGAUCGCGGUGGUGGCAGCAGCGGCGGUUGUGGCGGCGGUGGUGGUGGUUGAUGGAAUC